ACUUUUUUUUUUGGCGAGAUUGAAUACUUACCGAUUUCCACAAACAAACAUUCCAACGAACCGUAAGGUCACAUAUUACAAAGUGCGCAGUGUUUCCUUUGUCACUUGAUUGUGUCAUUGUUAGUGAUUCACUGAGUUUUGAUUAACUUCUAUUAAAAUUAAUUACAUUGUUUUGGUACACAGAGCAAUAAAUAACCUCACUUUUUGAAUGUCUCCGUUUGACAGAUCAAUGCGUUACGUUCCAUUCUUUUAGUAUAGAAGAAAUGUAUAAUGAAAUUAAAUAUUCAACACUAAAUUUUUAUAAAACUUAAUAUUUAGGCUCUUUAAUUUAAAUUCUAGCUAUUUCUAGUAUUUUCCUCAAUGUUUAUAUUAAAAUAACAUUGUAAUGUAUCUUGAUCGAUCAUGGGUUCGGAACGUUCUAGAAAUUUGACAUAUUCUGAGCGAAACGAAACGCGCGGGAGACGGUCCGAAUACUGUGAGUGACGUUUCUUCUGUUUCUAAAAGUUAAAUAAAUUAAUUAAAUUUAAAUCGGAGGAGCAGUUUUGUGAGUUCUCAUAUCAAGAUUAUUCAAUAAGAGGCUGGUUGACUCAAAUAGAACUUAUUAGAAAAAGAAAUAAAAAAUAAAAACGAAGAAACAUUUUUAUGGUUUGUUAUUGUUGGGUUCGAUUCGGACCACAAGUCACGGGUGAUGACCGGCGCUUUUUGGAGUGACCUUUUUUUUUGCUCGACCGGCCGUGCGCUUGGACGGAAGUUCGUUAGUGUGUGGUGUUGUGGCAUUCUGAGUCGGCCCUAAAUGUGCCAUUCCCAACUCAAACGGGCAGGGCACGCAGAUUAUUGUUGUUGAAAUAAAGGAAUUCCGGUUGGACACCGAAAUCCCGCUGUUCGCCGAUUUUGCGGACUCACUGCCACGUGCUGAGUUCUGUUACUGAAGAUUGUGUGUGGUUGGGCAGUGCUCGGUGGCGAGCCUCUGCGCUGUUGCUGUCUGUUGUUGAUGUUGCUGAUGUUGCCUCCAUAGCAGGUAUGUUGUGGUUUCUUUCUCAAACUCAUUCGCCUCUCCGCUGAGUUAGGAUGAAUUACUAGAAACGUGGCACUCGGUCACGGGCUACCCUACUUCAUAGGUUGGUUCCGUUUUCUAUUGAGCUUGUCAAUUAUUUUAGUUUACUUUGAAAAAGUAGAUUACCCACAUAACGAUUACAUUUUACCAAAAAGUAAAUUCCUAAAUAAAUUUACCAUUGUGAUGUAUUAUCGAUGGAUUUUGUUGUGUUAACUAUUUUUAGUUCGCUUUAUGAAGGUAAAUGAUGUGAUAAUUACAAUGAUUACAUUUUACCAAAAAGUAAAUUCCUAAAUAAGUUUACCAUUGUGAUGUAUUAUCGAUGGAUUUUGUUGUGUUAACUAUUUUUAGUUCGCUUUGUGAAGGUAGAUGAUAUAAUAAUUACGAUGAUUACAUUUUACCAAAAUGUUACCUGCUAAAUAGAUUUACCAUUGUAAUGAAUUACCGUUGGAUUUUGCUGUGUUCACAUUUGCUCCAUCCUCGAGAGCGAUGGAUUAUUGUUUUUAAAUUGUUUUUACUAUUAUGAAUGUAUUGUGCUGUUGUAUAAUAUAAUUUUUUAUUGUACAAUAGGAGGUGUAUGGUACCGGCUGCUCUGUUGGCACCGGCUAUCAGGUGUUUGGCACCGGCUGUCCCGCAGUGCCAGACGCUUGCUGCGCCCGACGGGUGCGGAGGGGGUUGAGCCGAGUGGUGGCGACUAGCGCGCUAGUAAUCUUAAGUAUUUUUAAUCAGUACCAACCAAACGGCCCAACGACCCAUCCCUUAAUUUUUCUUUUUAAAUAUUUGUGUCUAACCCACAAUUAAAUUGUUGUCAAUUUAAAUA